UUUCUGGUUCUAGAAACAGGCACAUCAGCACCUGCCAAAAAGCAGGCAUUUCCUCCAAGAUUACAUGAUAACAUUACAGAGGAAUAAGAAACAAAAAUAACAAACAUUGUAGCAAAAAGAACUCUAGAAAUCUUAAAAUACAUCUAGCUUUAUUGUGAGCCAGCUAUACAUCCUUACACCAGUCAUUUAUUUUAAAAGGAGGAGGUUUGAAACUAGACGAUCAACCAUUCAAUCAGCAUUCAGUGAAUACCUAUAUGCAAGAUACUACACUAAACUGUCUCCACUCCCUUCCCAUCCAUGAUUUCGCUUUCUGCAGUGUCACUCAACUACAGUCUGGAAGCAAAUGAUCCUCCUCUAGACACAUCAUCAGGUCAACAGUAGCCUAGCACUACAUCACAAUGUCUACAUCACUCGCCUCACCUCUUCUCAUUCACAUAGGUAUUUAUUUUACCAUCUCACAUUAUCAUAAGAAGAGCGAGUACAGUACAAUGAGGGUCAUAAGUCAGAUUCCUCCACUCCAAAAGAUGAAAUUAUGGCUGAAACACCUGCAAUACUACCACUAGAGCAGAGCAACUGGAGAAAACCCAGAUGACCCUGGGCACUUUCAACGUCAAGCUCAGCACCAGAGGGGCAGGCUGUGGGAGGUAUCCAAAGGCAAAGAAGUUGAAAGCAACAGUCCCGCAACUUUUAACUGCCAGGACGAUAGCAGGAAACCUACACAGCCAUGGAGACAGAAGCAGCCCCUGCCAACCAAUCUCCAUUUACGAAACUUAACCCCCACCCAGUUUUGUUGUUGUUGUUUUUUGUCGAGCACUACUGGACAGCUUAUUCAUUUUUGGAGUUAUUAUAAAUACUAAUAACCCCGAUGUGCGAGGCUCUGUCAAGAUUUUUGUGAAAAUUGCGCUUGUGAGUUCAUUCUCUCAACCCACUCCACACUCUAGUCUGAAAAGCUCUCUUCACAUCC